CACUUCCGCGCCGCACCUCCACUACUUUAAAAAAUGUUCUAGUUGAAGUUACACGGAUUUUUAAGGAUGUUUUUGUGGUUCAAGUGACAGAUUAACAAAGUUUCUAUAUUGUUAAUGGGAGAAACACUCGUGGGAACCCGGCUAAUCAUCUGUGGCCUUGGAAAAUAGUCGCGGAGGUCGCCGGGAGGGAGGGACCACUUAGCGUCACCAGCCACGCCGCCUGUGCACGCUAGCCGGCCGUUCAGCACCGCCGCGAGUCACCACCGCUGCCUGCUCAUCGCCACAGUCCUUUUCUGGAGCAGCGCGUCGCCACCACCGCAAACUACACCCUAGCAAUGGCGUGAGUACAAAGCACAGCCGCCACACCCAUAAAGCUUCUUAACUGGAGUAAGGCAAAGCUUUAUCAGACGCCAAAAAAGGAGAGACUAUUUCCACAUUAUGGACGCCCCGCAGCUGAUCCCUUCAAGCUGACAACCUGUUUGUUCUCCGCCAGCCCGCCGCGCAUCACCACCACCACCACUACCACCACUACCACCACCACCACCACCACCACCACCACCAUCUCCUAAACAACAACACCACUCCCAGGAACAAAAACAGUGCUAUCACUAUCCCAUCACCUGCAACACCAACAGUGGCGCGCAUCACCUCUACCACUCCGCCACUACCAACAACAGCACCAUCAGCACCACCACCACCACCACCAAUAACAACAACAACACUCCACUGCCAAGAACAAUAACAAUGCUAUCACCAUUCCAGCAAAAUCAUUAUCAUCACCAUUUCCACCAACACCACUAUCUUUGUUACCAUCACUACCACCAUCACCACCACCACCACCACCAUCACCACUAUCCCUUUCCCCCAACAGUAACCAACUGCCCCAAGGGAAAACAAUGAGGAGGAAAGAAGAAACCAAUUAAUAAAUGAGUAAAUAAACACGUGAAUAAGUGAGUGACUUCUUAAGUGGGAAACUCAGAGAAUGAAG